UACGUAGGUGGCAAGCGUUAUCCGGAAUUAUUGGGCGUAAAGCGCGCGCAGGCGGUUCUUUAAGUCUGAUGUGAAAGCCCACGGCUCAACCGUGGAGGGUCAUUGGAAACUGGGGGAACUUGAGUGCAGAAGAGAAAAGCGGAAUUCCACGUGUAGCGGUGAAAUGCGUAGAGAUGUGGAGGAACACCAGUGGCGAAGGCGGCUUUUGCUGGUACUG
rnacentral:rRNA from 1 species